CCUACGUGAUGCAGCAGUGAGGAAUAUUGGUCAAUGGACGCAAGUCUGAACCAGCCAUGCCGCGUGCAGGAAGACGGCUCUAUGAGUUGUAAACUGCUUUUGUACGAGGGUAAACGCAGAUACGUGUAUCUGUCUGAAAGUAUCGUACGAAUAAGGGUCGGCUAACUACGUGCCAGCAGCCGCGGUAAUAAGGAGGAUUCAAGCGUUAUCCGGAUUUAUUGGGUUUAAAGGGUUCGUAGGCGGUCGGAUAAGUUAGAGGUGAAAUCCCGAGGCUCAACUUCGGAAUUGCCUCUGAUACUGUUCGGCUAGAGAGUAGUUGCGGUAGGCGGAAUGUAUGGUGUAGCGGUGAAAUGCUUAGAGAUCAUACAGAACACCGAUUGCGAAGGCAGCUUACCAAGCUACUUCUGACGUUGAGGCACGAAAGCGUGGGGAGCAAACAGGAUUAGAUACCCUAGUAGUC
rnacentral:rRNA from 1 species